UUUUAGUUCGUAAGCGCCAUGGAUGGCGAAUCGUGCAUGCUGUUACUAAGAAUCAGCAGUAUCGUUUGAAGAUUU
rfam:Glossina palpalis gambiensis isolate 146720 unplaced genomic scaffold Scaffold455, whole genome shotgun sequence.